CCUACGGGAGGCAGCAGUGGGGGAUAUUGCACAAUGGGGGAAACCCUGAUGCAGCGACGCCGCGUGGGUGAAGAAGCGCCUCGGCGCGUAAAGCCCUGUCAGCAGGGAAGAAAAUGACGGUACCUGAAGAAGAAGCCCCGGCUAACUACGUGCCAGCAGCCGCGGUAAUACGGAGGGGGCCAGCGUUAUCCGGAUUUACUGGGUGUAAAGGGGGCGCAGACGGCGAUGCAAGCCAGGGGUGAAAGCCCGGGGCCCAACCCCGGGACUGCUCUUGGAACUGCGUGGCUAGAGUGCAGGAGGGGCAGGCGGAAUGCCUGGUGUAGCGGUGAAAUGCGUAGAUAUCAGGAGGAACACCGGUGGCGAAGGCGGCCUGCUGGACUGCAACUGACGUUGAGGCCCGAAAGCGUGGGGAGCAAACAGGAUUAGAUACCCUAGUAGUC
rnacentral:rRNA from 1 species